rnacentral:rRNA from 1 species
GAAUUUUAUAAUCUUAAUUAAAUUAAUUUAAUUAAGAUUAUUUAAUUGGGAGGAUAAUUAAAUUUAUUUAACUUUAAUAAAAAUUUUAUAACUUUAAUUAAAGAAAUAAAAUUAAAGAAUAAUUUUUAAUUAUAUUAGAAUUAAUUACCUUAGGGAUAACAGCAUAAUAUUUUUUUUUAGUUCAUAUAUAAAAAAAUGUUUAU